rnacentral:lncRNA from 1 species
UCUACUUAGAAAGACAACACUGUGCUGAGAGGUUACUCUUUCUGAACAGUCGCAUCAUUUCAUUCAGCUAUUCUCAACUCCCCUUCAAAAGACUCUCCCACUAGAAUUGCAUGAAUAUUGUGCACCCAAGGUGAAUGUAUGUUUAGAACAACAAAAUAUUGAUUUUUCAUUGUGUAACUUCCAUUUAAUUUAAGCCAAAAUGCAAGAAGGGGAAAGAGUUGGUAAGAGAGGACACUGAUCUAACCCUUUCUAGUGAUCCUUCAAAACUUCACACACUUCCAGUGUUGAAUUUUGUUGACAGAUACUUAUUUCAGUCACAUUUUGAUUUUAUACAACUCUUCAAAGUCUGGUUUUAAAACAAAAAAAUCUAAAAU